rnacentral:tRNA from 1 species
UAUGAAGUGAUGUAAAAUGCAUAAAGAAUUUUGAUUUCUUUUGACUUAGUUUAAUUCUAGGCUUUAUAA